CUGCAUUUGGGUCUGCACAUUCUCUGAAGUUGUGUCAGUAUGACCUGACCCCACUUGGACCCAGAACAGAGGCAUCUUUUUUCACUCAUUCCUCUGCUAAGUGGUUCUGUUCUUCAGAGCGUCCCGAAUAGUCUCCUCUGUCUACCAGCAAGAAUGCAAAGUGCAGCAAGCAGCAGAAGCCCCAGCUGCCCUCACUGCCCUCCACCAGCAAGGCUGCCUCUAUGAGCAACUGCCAGCCUGCGUCUGCCACCACCUUGCUGCAGAGUGACUCUCCU